AGCGAUCAAUCGACUCGGCCGAUUACAUGUCAUUCCAACAAAUCAAUCAUUGCUCACAAUCACGCCCUACUCGGCAAAAUUAGAAUCAGUGGCAUCACGGCCCCACUCGGCACGACCUUUAACAGGUAGCAUAUCAUGGCCCCACUGGGCGCGACCUUUAUCAGGUGGCAUAUCACGGCCCCAUUGGGCGCGACCUCUAAUAGGUGGCAUAUAACGGCCCCACUGGGCGCGACCUCUAAUAGGUGGCAUAUAACGGCCCCACUGGGCGCGACCUCUAAUAGGUGGCAUAUAACGGCCCCACUGGGCGCGACCUCUAAUAGGUGGCAUAUCACGGCCAAUCGCCCAUCAAUUUCCACACUUAGAAUUUUAUAAAGAAUCCAUAUUUAUCACAAUCAACACUCAAUUCGCCACAUCCAUUCAUCAAAUUCAAAUUCUA
rnacentral:lncRNA from 1 species